UUAUCUCUUUGGUCCUUGGAAAUUGAAGGCAAUUGCUUUCUUAUGCACUAGAGCUGUGAUUGCAGUUAGAGAGCUUAAGUCCCUUAAAAGGAUUCUCAUGAAAGUAUCAAAGUACCAUUUUUCUUGCUAGCAGUCUGUAAGGACUGUGAAGGCAAUACUAGGCCUUAAUGCUCUGAUGAGCCUCACCUGGGGCCUUCAAGCCAAAGAUACAACAUUUAAAAUCACAGUUGUACAGAUUUGUCCAAUGAGAUAGAAGAGCAUUCACUUCAGAAGGAAUAACCAGCCCUCAAAUUUUGAAGAGUCUUUGGAUUUCGGAAACAAGGGUGAACAUGCAAGAGUGAAAAUGCUUGCAGUCAAAGAAACUUCUCUGCCAUAAACAGUCAAGGAGAUCUUGCAGUGAAUUUUCAAAGAUCAUCUUCAUAAUACCUUUCUUCCUAGUUACUUAUUUAAC
rnacentral:lncRNA from 1 species